rnacentral:rRNA from 1 species
UACAGGGGGUGCAAACAUUGCUCGGAAUCAUUGGGCGUAAAGCGCACGUAGGCGGUUCGUUAUGUCGGAUGUGAAAGCCCUUGGCUUAACCGAGGAAGUGCAUCCGAAACUGGCGAGCUAGAGUACGAAAGAGGAUCGCGGAAUUCCCGGUGUAGAGGUGAAAUUCGUAGAUAUCGGGAGGAACACCGGUGGCGAAGGCGGCGAUCUGGGUCGAUACUGACGCUGAGGUGCGAAAGCGUGGGGAGCAAACAGG